ACCUAACGCACGCACGCAUAUGGCUUUCCCCCUCCCUCACUUUUACUCCCUCCUGGCCGCCGCCGCCGUCUCCUCCUCUUCCUCCUCUCUCCCGUAGCAGAUCCACCUCCCCUUCCUUUUAUUCAUCCUCCACGCGACCAUCGACGAUGUGUGGUUCUAGAUCGGACGUCUCCAUGGAGAGCAGGGAUGAAGAAGCAGGAGAGGCCUGCGGUGGGGCGACCCGAACCGAGGAGAACUCGGCGACAGGGAAAAGAAGCAGCAGUGACAGCGCUUGUCUCGGUGGGGUGGAGCUGCUCGGAAGAUGGAAGGGGACUGUCGACUUGCGGGAGGAGCAGGUGAGUCCGGCCCUUGUUCGCGCUAGAGACACUUCCGACGCCGCAAGCCAGGGCAGCUCGACCAUAGAAGCCCGUAGGAGCAGUAAACCAUGGAGGAUUUGGAGGCUGCUCAUGUUUGUAACAGUAAACCAUGGAGGAUAUGGGGGAUGCAUGACCUUAGAGCAGCAAACCAUGUCAGCCAAGGUUUACACAAAAAAGAUUCAGGAAAUCUAGAUUGGGGGAGCAACAAAAAGCUUCAAAUGUGUAAACUAAUAUAUACGUUACAUAACUUUUUUGUGUUUGCAGCAUAGUCUAGAAAUUUAGUGUAGAGAAACUAAAAUAGUUCAAGAUAAAAAGGUUGUUGUACAAAACGAAUUGUUUGUCCCCGUUUAUCUUGUCAUUUUGUUACAAAUGAAAACAUAGUCGGGAAAAAUCAUGGAACGGUUUCUGUCAUGAAGCAUGAGAAUGAUAGUACCUGAAAUUGCGAGAGCUGGCCUUCUAUCUUUUUUCACAAGUACUCUGUUUUUCGUAGCUAAUAAUGAUGGUUGCAGCUUAUAAUUGCUGAACUAUCCGGCGUGGUGUGGGCAUGUUGUAAUUACAUCCUUUGAUAUUUCUAUGCAAUAUUUGGUUCAUUUGGUAUUCAUAAAUUCAUUUAUGUCCAGUAGGAAGGAAGAUGCAUGAAGUUCCUAUUUUCUUGGGUGACCUCAGUUUCCUAAUGAUAUCUUCAUAGCAUACAGAUGGUUGCCAAUUAGCUUAUAUCAGUUUCCUAAUAAUAUCUUCAUAGCAUACUUUUUUGGGAUAAUGGUGACCAAAACGCCCUGGUUUCUCUAAUUUGUAGGAAUGAAAAUCUUGAAUUGCUUUUGAUGGAUUUCUCACUCAUCAAAAUAAAGCCACCAGCCUACACAUAGAGGUUGAUUAAUCACUCUGGCCAGUCGUUCUGUUUUUCUAUGUUGCGGAAUAGGAAUGUCGUAUGAUCAUUUAUUUCCUCUGCGUCAUUUUAAGUUCUACACCUUAUCUCUUAUUAUGAUAAAUCAUCAAUAUCAUACGUCUGUUACUCUUCCUGAUUCUACAUAUUGUUUUCAGUCAUAGAUUUAGAGUUUUUUUUUCAUGUUCUUGCAAAGCAGAGGUGUUUAAAAAACUAUAGCUAUUUUACUGCUUUUUGGAUGCUAUGAAAUGCUUAUACUAAAUUUCACAAGUAUGUUCAUGUCUUUCUAUAUUUAUACAAUGUAUGUUGUGUUGCUCAAUGCUCACUACCUCUGGUAUUAAUCUCUCUUGCAUUCCUUUACUAAUACUUUUAUCUUGUGCUUCUAAAUACUACAAUCUGAUCAAAGCCUUACGCCUCUGCAAAAUGGCGAGGUCUUCGUGGCACUAAAAUCUGGUAUUUACCUCCGUUUUCUGCCGUCAACUGUUAAUGAAAGUAGUACGAUGCCUAAUUUUGCCUUCUGUCGAUUUUUUUCUUAAGGUAACUCUAAACUUAGGUUGAUGCCUUCGCUAACUUUAAUUUUGUGUCCUGAUGCUAUGGCCUAAUUUUUUCUAUUGUCCUUGAGCACCCCGUAGCUAAUAUAAUGUGAAUAGGAGUUUAGUUUGCUACUUAUACAACAAUAGAUCCAUUUUUGUAGCUGCCAGAUAUUAUUCUUCCUGUCCCAAAGUGAAAGCAUGGUUUCUCAUGUUAAAACCCCAAGAUAUUGUAUAGUAUCUGAUGACCAUCAUCACAAUAUUGACAAAGGAUCAGUAAUUGAUUUCUUUUUUGAGAAAAAGCCCUGCGCUUAUAGAUUAUCAGGGUUCAGGUUACAGUCAUUUGAAACGAACUGUCUCAGCACGUAAGGAACAUUAGCGAUCAGUAGACUGUCUCCAUGAGCUCUUGCAUAGUCAGCCAGUUUGUGAGCCAAAACAUUGCGUUCUCGAUUCAUUGCCGAGGCUGACGCCGAUGCAAAGGAAUCCAUCAUAUCUUUCACAUCCGAAAUGAGUGGGAACAAGGCCGACUUGUCCUGUGAUUUAGGUUGGAGCAGGUUUGAGACCGCAACGCAGUCUGUCAUGCAGAUGGCGCCUCUCUAUACUUUCUGCAGUUCCAACAACCCCACCUGUAUGGUCGUUAACUCUGCCUCAUCAACAUUCUUGAAUGGGAGUACUCGCCUACAAAUUGACAGUGCCACAGCCCCGGUCUGACCUCUGACCACAACACCCACGCUGUUAUGCCCCGUUUCAGCACUAAAAGAAGCAUCUGCAUUCACUUUCCAUACGCCAGCCCCGGGUGGCUUCCACUGGUUGGUUUUAACGUGUUGCACCUCAUGCAAAGGAUCAGCUAUAGCCGACCAGAUAUUCUUCCCUCUUUCAUCAUUUUUCUCCCAAUGGCUUCCCUUAAAAUCCUUCCAGUAAUUAUGUAGAAAGGCGACAGUCAAGACAUGAGCUAUCCAGUGUAGGUUCAAACAAUUCAUUCAUUCAUUGCAGGUUCGGCAUGUCUCAUUAUGUCUUUUUGCUUCAUAUUCAGGGUCAAACUGGGCUAUAUUUAUUUCAUUGAGGCGAGGGUGAUUCCAGCAGAUUUUGCUUGGCGUACUCGCCUUUUUUCUUGAAGUUGGGCGUCGUCUCUGCGGCAAGGUGUCUGGUAGAAUUACUAGAAGUAGCGGAUCUACUUUUAUUUGCUGUCCUAGCUUGCCAUCAACUUAUGCCAACGACGCAAGAUUUGUUCAUCGCAUGAAGCAAGGAAUUGAGGCGGCCAUCCACUUCAUAUUGUUAACUGGAUGGUGUCGCAGUAUGCUUUAUGAAAGCAACCUAAAUAAAUUGUUGUAAAUAACCCUAAGGAUUUUCUUUACCUUGAACUAUCUUUAAACCUUUCUUCUUGCUUCACUUGAUGCUUUUGGACUUCAUGCUGCCAUUGACCGGAAUGUAAACCGUUAUAUUUCUGAAUGCGCUAUGUAUGAGAUCUCUGAUGCUACUAAUUAUUGGACUGCCUCGGGUCAUCUAUUUCCUUGUGCAGCAAGGAUUCUGGAUCGGGCGCAGGUCGUCGCCAUAAGAGAGCCUGGCUGGUGUGGUCUUCAUGCUUGGUGUGGAGAAGCAGGGGAGGAUGAGUAGGAUGGGCAUGGGGAAGGAGCAGCCAGGCUGGAGCUCCGGUGUUGCUCGCGUCAUGGUCGAAUGGAGCCGGCCAUCACUAUGGGCUGCUGCUCGCCGGUCGUCGUUCCCCAAUCUUAGUUGCUCAUCUUUGGCUUCACCAUCUUCCUCCCCUGAUCAUGCAUCUAUUUUCGAUCAUAUAAUUAUGCUAUAUCAUAUAUGUUGUUUAGUUCAGACUUGUGCAUGUGCAUGCAUUGGCAUUAAUUUAGACAGAGAUAUUGCAUGAUUUGUACAUAAAAGGAGUACGGAUGAUCUAAGAAUAAAUGUUUGAAUAAAGUUAGUAGUGAGAUUUAGGUA